GGUUAAGCGACUAAGCGUACACGGUGGAUGCCCUGGCAGUCAGAGGCGAUGAAGGACGUGCUAAUCUGCGAUAAGCGUCGGUAAGGUGAUAUGAACCGUUAUAACCGGCGAUUUCCGAAUGGGGAAACCCAGUGUGUUUCGACACACUAUCAUUAACUGAAUCCAUAGGUUAAUGAGGGCGAACCGGGGGAACUGAAACAUCUAAGUACCCCGAGGAAAAGAAAUCAACCGAGAUUCCCCCAGUAGCGGCGAGCGAACGGGGAGGAGCCCAGAGCCUGAAUCAGUGUGUGUGUUAGUGGAAGCGUCUGGAAAGGCGCGCGAUACAGGGUGACAGCCCCGUACACAAAAAUGCACAUAUUGUGAGCUCGAUGAGUAGGGCGGGACACGUGGUAUCCUGUCUGAAUAUGGGGGCCCAUCCUCCAAGGCUAAAUACUCCUGACUGACCGAUAGUGAACCAGUACCGUGAGGGAAAGGCGAAAAGAACCCCGGCGAGGGGGAGUGAAAAAGAACCUGAAACCGUGUACGUACAAGCAGUGGGAGCACGCUUAGGCGUGUGACUGCGUACCUUUGUAUAAUGGGUCAGCGACUUAUAUUCUGUAGCAAGGUUAACCGAAUAGGGGAGCCGAAGGGAAACCGAGUCUUAACUGGGCGUUAAGUUGCAGGGUAUAGACCCGAAACCCGGUGAUCUAGCCAUGGGCAGGUUGAAGGUUGGGUAACACUAACUGGAGGACCGAACCGACUAAUGUUGAAAAAUUAGCGGAUGACUUGUGGCUGGGGGUGAAAGGCCAAUCAAACCGGGAGAUAGCUGGUUCUCCCCGAAAGCUAUUUAGGUAGCGCCUCGUGAAUUCAUCUCCGGGGGUAGAGCACUGUUUCGGCAAGGGGGUCAUCCCGACUUACCAACCCGAUGCAAACUGCGAAUACCGGAGAAUGUUAUCACGGGAGACACACGGCGGGUGCUAACGUCCGUCGUGAAGAGGGAAACAACCCAGACCGCCAGCUAAGGUCCCAAAGUCAUGGUUAAGUGGGAAACGAUGUGGGAAGGCCCAGACAGCCAGGAUGUUGGCUUAGAAGCAGCCAUCAUUUAAAGAAAGCGUAAUAGCUCACUGGUCGAGUCGGCCUGCGCGGAAGAUGUAACGGGGCUAAACCAUGCACCGAAGCUGCGGCAGCGACGCUUAUGCGUUGUUGGGUAGGGGAGCGUUCUGUAAGCCUGCGAAGGUGUGCUGUGAGGCAUGCUGGAGGUAUCAGAAGUGCGAAUGCUGACAUAAGUAACGAUAAAGCGGGUGAAAAGCCCGCUCGCCGGAAGACCAAGGGUUCCUGUCCAACGUUAAUCGGGGCAGGGUGAGUCGACCCCUAAGGCGAGGCCGAAAGGCGUAGUCGAUGGGAAACAGGUUAAUAUUCCUGUACUUGGUGUUACUGCGAAGGGGGGACGGAGAAGGCUAUGUUGGCCGGGCGACGGUUGUCCCGGUUUAAGCGUGUAGGCUGGUUUUCCAGGCAAAUCCGGAAAAUCAAGGCUGAGGCGUGAUGACGAGGCACUACGGUGCUGAAGCAACAAAUGCCCUGCUUCCAGGAAAAGCCUCUAAGCAUCAGGUAACAUCAAAUCGUACCCCAAACCGACACAGGUGGUCAGGUAGAGAAUACCAAGGCGCUUGAGAGAACUCGGGUGAAGGAACUAGGCAAAAUGGUGCCGUAACUUCGGGAGAAGGCACGCUGAUAUGUAGGUGAAGUCCCUUGCGGAUGGAGCUGAAAUCAGUCGAAGAUACCAGCUGGCUGCAACUGUUUAUUAAAAACACAGCACUGUGCAAACACGAAAGUGGACGUAUACGGUGUGACGCCUGCCCGGUGCCGGAAGGUUAAUUGAUGGGGUCAGCGCAAGCGAAGCUCUUGAUCGAAGCCCCGGUAAACGGCGGCCGUAACUAUAACGGUCCUAAGGUAGCGAAAUUCCUUGUCGGGUAAGUUCCGACCUGCACGAAUGGCGUAAUGAUGGCCAGGCUGUCUCCACCCGAGACUCAGUGAAAUUGAACUCGCUGUGAAGAUGCAGUGUACCCGCGGCAAGACGGAAAGACCCCGUGAACCUUUACUAUAGCUUGACACUGAACAUUGAGCCUUGAUGUGUAGGAUAGGUGGGAGGCUUUGAAGUGUGGACGCCAGUCUGCAUGGAGCCGGCCUUGAAAUACCACCCUUUAAUGUUUGAUGUUCUAACGUGGACCCGUGAUCCGGGUUGCGGACAGUGUCUGGUGGGUAGUUUGACUGGGGCGGUCUCCUCCUAAAGAGUAACGGAGGAGCACGAAGGUUGGCUAAUCCUGGUCGGACAUCAGGAGGUUAGUGCAAUGGCAUAAGCCAGCUUGACUGCGAGCGUGACGGCGCGAGCAGGUGCGAAAAGCAGGUCAUAGUGAUCCGGUGGUUCUGAAUGGAAGGGCCAUCGCUCAACGGAUAAAAAGGUACUCCGGGGAUAACAGGCUGAUACCGCCCAAGAGUUCAUAUCGACGGCGGUGUUUGGCACCUCGAUGUCGGCUCAUCACAUCCUGGGGCUGAAGUAGGUCCCAAGGGUAUGGCUGUUCGCCAUUUAAAGUGGUACGCGAGCUGGGUUUAGAACGUCGUGAGACAGUUCGGUCCCUAUCUGCCGUGGGCGCUGGAGAACUGAGGGGGGCUGCUCCUAGUACGAGAGGACCGGAGUGGACGCAUCACUGGUGUUCGGGUUGUCAUGCCAAUGGCACUGCCCGGUAGCUAAAUGCGGAAGAGAUAAGUGCUGAAAGCAUCUAAGCACGAAACUUGCCCCGAGAUGAGUUCUCCCUGACCCUUUAAGGGUCCUGAAGGAACGUUGAAGACGACGACGUUGAUAGGCCGGGUGUGUAAGCGCAGCGAUGCGUUGAGCUAACCGGUACUAAUGAACCGUGAGGCUUAACCUU
rnacentral:rRNA from 1 species